CAGGUGAUCUAGAAUUUUUUUCCCUUUGGUUGCACAUUUAACAUGUUGAUGGAAAUUUUGUAGAACUUAGUUCAGUCAACUCUGAGUUAAGUUAACCCUGAGUAAAGCACGUGCAUGAGGAGAUAAAAAGCCCUCAUCAAUGGAACGCAGAUAACAUGAUUCAUCAUGGCAACAGGAGAAAAACGGGCUCGAACCUCCUACUUCACCCGGUGGAGUUAGAAAUAUUAAUGAAUGCGUAUGCAGAAUAUGAGUAUAUAUUUAAGAAAAAAAUCAAUACAAUAGCAGCAGCAAAACAACGUGAGCUGGCGUGGCAGAAAAUUGCUGACCGAGUCAAUGUAUGAGUAUUAAUUGAAAAAAAAGAAAAGUUUUAUCUGGAGUGUUCCACUUAUUCAACAUUUAUAUAGUGUGUGUGCGUGUGUGUGUGUGUCUGUGUGUGUGCGUGUUAAUAUUUAUGCAGGUGCAACCCAACAGGCACAAAACGUACUUGGCAGCAACUGAAGAUGAAAUAUAAAAAUACUUCAAACAGCAAUAGAAAAAAGGCUGAGGGCCGAAAAACAGGUGGGGGACCACCACCACCACUCAGAGGCUGAAGAGAUGGCCCUCAGUCAAAACAGUGGAUGACGUAUUGCUGAAGGCAUCUCUGGAGGAAGCUCAUCUGACCCAACCACCCCCCAGGACACAAGGGCCUACAUAAGAAGAGGAGGAUAAAGACACCUUGUCAGCUGCCGCAGAGGGAAUAUACAGAGAGGCCUAUUGAGGUUUACACCUUAAAAAUAACAUCUAACAGUUGAUGAUAGUGUUAUACCAUAAUAAAUCUUCCACCUUCUUUUUCUCUAACAGAGCAAUGAAAUUACAAUGAGGAAGAGGGUCCAUCCACCUCCACAGAUAUUGUUCAGCAUAGUGUUUUUUGCCCUUUAUUUAACCGGGCGAGUCAGUUAAGAACAAAUUCUUAUUUACAAUGACGGUCUAGGAACAGUGGGUUAACUGCCUUAUUCAGGGACAGAACGACAGAUUUUUGCCUUGGCAGCUCAGGGAUUCAAUCUAGCAACCUUUCGGUUACUGUCCCAACACUCUAACUACUAAGCUACCUGCCACCCCAAAAUAUGAGGCUACAGCAUUGGCCCAUGACUUGCAAUGAAACGAAGUAGACCUGGCACUGUGAAAUUCAAUGUCAUUUUUUUGUGUCCCUAUAUCUCCCCGUGAAACAGCUGUACAGGGUGUAUUUAGAAAAACAAAUUGAAAAAUGUAAUUUAGAAAUUGACCACAUAAGGCUGCAGAUGCAAAAAAUAAAAAUAGAAAUACAACUGCUGGAACAUCAGUUAAAGGUGUGUGAGAUGCUCACAGAUGGAUGAUUUUACUUGUUUGAACAAAAUCAAAAUCAAAACUACUGUACUGCAUUUGUACUUGCAGGAAAUAAA